ensembl:snRNA U2 U2 spliceosomal RNA
AUCGCUUCUCAACCUUUUGUCUAAAAUCAAGUAUAGUAUUUGUUCUUAUCAGCUUAAUAUAUGAUACAUCCUCUAUCCGAGGACAAUAUAUUAAAUGCAUUUUGGGGACAGGGAGAUGGAAUAGGAGCUUGCUCCGUCCACUCCACGCAUCAACCUGGUAUUGCAGUACCUCCAGGAACAGUGCACCAAAA